AAAUGUCGUCUUUUAACGAGCGGACAGGAAAGGAAGAAGGUUUAUUGGUCUCCUGGCUACAUGAAUCAUGGCCAGAAAUGGUCCAGCUUCACCCAAGUGAAGCUACCAGUUGACAUCCUUUACCAUUCAUUUUUCAGCUCUUCUGAGUUAGCCCUUCAGAUGAGAGGACAGUCUUUAAGGAAACAUUGCUUUACAUCUACAGGAGCAACCCAUGCAAGCUCCCUACAGCCGACUUGGCACUGAUUCAUAAAUAUAAGUGGAUAAUGAAGGCUCACCAGACUUGGAGAAAACAUAACAGCGUUAGUAACCGAAGAAUCUGUUUCCAGAAGAAAGAGAACUCAGGAAGAAGAAUAUAAUGAAAAACAAUCUAAGUCCUGAGAGAGAUUGGAAAGCUGUUCUAUCAUUCUGUGUUCUUAUAUGGGAAAUCCGUGAUCGCGUGGAAGCUCAGAGACCACGGGUGUAUGUGGUUUAUGUCAAAAUCUGGAUUAAGCACUUUAAAAUUCAUGAAAUGAGAAGUCUGCUUAUUUUGUUGAUUUUCUUCUAAGGCUCUCUGAGUGUAUAUAAGGAAGAUGAUGUGAGUAUAUUUUUUAGUUCUGCAUGGCAACCAUGCUGAGUGGUAAAUAUUUUAAGAAAUAUUAUCAGAAGGGAAUGAAUAGCUAUUGAUCUGAGGUGCAGCAUUAUAACAUAGUUAUUAAAUUGGGAACCAGAGUUCCUUUCCUAUGGAUUACAUUCAUUAUAAUCUGUCGAUCCUCUUGAAUUACUACUCUUGAUUCUUCUGCCUUUUUGCUAUUUUGCUAUGUGCUUGAGAUUAGCUUUUACGGUG
rnacentral:lncRNA from 1 species